UUUGAAAGAUGGCUUUGGCUAUCACUCUGGGAUGGACCUGCGGUGCAUUAGCUAGUUGGUAAGGUAACGGCUUACCAAGGCGAUGAUGCAUAGCCGAGUUGAGAGACUGAUCGGCCACAAUGGAACUGAGACACGGUCCAUACUCCUACGGGAGGCAGCAGUAGGGAAUCUUCCACAAUGGGCGCAAGCCUGAUGGAGCAACACCGCGUGAGUGAAGAAGGGUUUCGGCUCGUAAAGCUCUGUUGUUGGAGAAGAACGUGCGUGAGAGUAACUGUUCACGCAGUGACGGUAUCCAACCAGAAAGUCACGGCUAACUACGUGCCAGCAGCCGCGGUAAUACGUAGGUGGCAAGCGUUAUCCGGAUUUAUUGGGCGUAAAGCGAGCGCAGGCGGUUGCUUAGGUCUGAUGUGAAAGCCUUCGGCUUAACCGAAGAAGUGCAUCGGAAACCGGGCGACUUGAGUGCAGAAGAGGACAGUGGAACUCCAUGUGUAGCGGUGGAAUGCGUAGAUAUAUGGAAGAACACCAGUGGCGAAGGCGGCUGUCUGGUCUGCAACUGACGCUGAGGCUCGAAAGCAUGGGUAGCGAACAGGAUUAGAUACCCUGGUAGUCCAUGCCGUAAACGAUGAGUGCUAGGUGUUGGAGGGUUUCCGCCCUUCAGUGCCGGAGCUAACGCAUUAAGCACUCCGCCUGGGGAGUACGACCGCAAGGUUGAAACUCAAAGGAAUUGACGGGGGCCCGCACAAGCGGUGGAGCAUGUGGUUUAAUUCGAAGCUACGCGAAGAACCUUACCAGGUCUUGACAUCUUGCGCUAACCUUAGAGAUAAGGCGUUCCCUUCGGGGACGCAAUGACAGGUGGUGCAUGGUCGUCGUCAGCUCGUGUCGUGAGAUGUUGGGUUAAGUCCCGCAACGAGCGCAACCCUUGUUACUAGUUGCCAGCAUUAAGUUGGGCACUCUAGUGAGACUGCCGGUGACAAACCGGAGGAAGGUGGGGACGACGUCAGAUCAUCAUGCCCCUUAUGACCUGGGCUACACACGUGCUACAAUGGA
rnacentral:rRNA from 2 species